rnacentral:rRNA from 1 species
CAAGUCGCACGAGAAAGGGGAGCAAUCCCUGAGUACAGUGGCGUACGGGUGAGUAACACGUGGAUGAUCUACCUUCUAGUGGGGAAUAACCCUGGGAAACCGGGGCUAAUACCGCAUAAGCUCGAGAGAGGAAAGCAGCAAUGCGCUGGAAGAGGAGUCCGCGGCCGAUUAGCUAGUUGGCAGGGUAAGAGCCUACCAAGGCAGAGAUCGGUAGCCGGCCUGAGAGGGCACACGGCCACACUGGCACUGAAACACGGGCCAGACUCCUACGGGAGGCAGCAGUGGGGAAUCUUGCACAAUGGGGGAAACCCUGAUGCAGCGACGCCGCGUGAGCGAUGAAGCCCUUCGGGGUGUAAAGCUCUUUCGGCAGGGAAGAUGAUGACGGUACCUGCAGAAGCAGCUGCGGCUAACUACGUGCCAGCAGCCGCGGUAAUACGUAGGCAGCGAGCGUUGUUCGGAGUUACUGGGCGUAAAGGGUGUGUAGGCGGUCGUUUAAGUUUGGUGUGAAAUCUCCCGGCUCAACCGGGAGGGUGCGCCGAAUACUGAAUGACUUGGAGUGCGGGAGAGGUGAGUGGAAUUCCUGGUGUAGCGGUGAAAUGCGUAGAUAUCAGGAGGAACACCGGUGGUGUAGACGGCUCACUGGACCGUAACUGACGCUGAGACACGAAAGCGUGGGUAGCAAACAGGAUUAGAUACCCUGGUAGUCCACGCCCUAAACGAUGCAUAUUUGGUGUGGGCAGUUCAUUCUGUCCGUGCCGGAGCUAACGCGUUAAAUAUGCCGCCUGGGGAGUACAGUCGCAAGGCUGAAACUCAAAGGAAUU